UACGGAAGGCAGCAGUGGGGAAUAUUGCACAAUGGGCGCAAGCCUGAUGCAGCCAUGCCGCGUGUAUGAAGAAGGCCUUCGGGUUGUAAAGUACUUUCAGCGGGGAGGAAGGCGAUGCGGUUAAUAACCGCGUCGAUUGACGUUACCCGCAGAAGAAGCACCGGCUAACUCCGUGCCAGCAGCCGCGGUAAUACGGAGGGUGCAAGCGUUAAUCGGAAUUACUGGGCGUAAAGCGCACGCAGGCGGUCUGUUAAGUCAGAUGUGAAAUCCCCGGGCUUAACCUGGGAACUGCAUUUUGAAACUGGCAGGCUUGAGUCUUGUAGAGGGGGUAGAAUUCCAGGUGUAGCGGUGAAUGCGUAGAGAUCUGGAGGAAUACCGGUGGCGAAGGCGGCCCCUGGGACAAGACUGACGCUCAGGUGCGAAAGCGUGGGGAGCGAAACGAGGAUUAGAUACC
rnacentral:rRNA from 1 species